rnacentral:rRNA from 1 species
UACAGGGGGUGCAAACGUUGCUCGGAAUCAUUGGGCGUAAAGCGCACGUAGGCGGUCUGUUAUGUCGGAUGUGAAAGCCCUUGGCUUAACUGAGGAAGUGCAUCCGAAACUGGCAGGCUAGAGUACUAAAGAGGGUCGCGGAAUUCCCGGUGUAGAGGUGAAAUUCGUAGAUAUCGGGAGGAACACCGGUGGCGAAGGCGGCGACCUGGGUAGUUACUGACGCUGAGGUGCGAAAGCGUGGGGAGCGAACAGG